GAUGAACGCUAGCUACAGGCUUAACACAUGCAAGUCGAGGGGAAACGACAUCGAAAGCUUGCUUUUGAUGGGCGUCGACCGGCGCACGGGUGAGUAACGCGUAUCCAACCUGCCCACCACUUGGGGAUAACCUUGCGAAAGUAAGACUAAUACCCAAUGAUAUCCCACGAAGGCAUCCGAAUGGGAUUAAAGAUUUAUCGGUGAUGGAUGGGGAUGCGUCUGAUUAGCUUGUUGGCGGGGUAACGGCCCACCAAGGCAACGAUCAGUAGGGGUUCUGAGAGGAAGGUCCCCCANAUUGGAACUGAGACACGGUCCAAACUCCUACGGGGAGCAGCAGUGAGGAAUAUUGGCAAUGGACCGGAAGUUCUGAACCAGCCAAGUUAGCGUGCAGGAUGACGGCCUA
rnacentral:rRNA from 1 species